GACGAGCCUGACAAACGUUAUUCGGAAUCACUGGGCUUAAAGGGUGCGUAGGCUGUGCGGACAGUCGGGUGUGAAAUACCUCAGCUUAACUGAGGAACUGCAUUCGAUACUACCGUGCUAGAGUAAGACAGAGGUGAGUGGAACUGAGGGUGGAGCGGUGAAAUGCGUUGAUAUCCUCAGGAACACCGGUGGCGAAGGCGACUCACUGGGUCUUUACUGACGCUGAUGAACGAAAGCUAGGGUAGCAAACGGG
rnacentral:rRNA from 1 species